AGCGGCGGAUGGGUGAGUAACACGUGGGGAACCUGCCCCUAAGUCUGGGAUACCAUUUGGAAACAGGUGCUAAUACCGGAUAAUAAAGCAGAUCGCAUGAUCAGCUUUAGAAAGGCGGCGUAAGCUGUCGCUAAGGGAUGGCCCCGCGGUGCAUUAGCUAGUUGGUAAGGUAACGGCUUACCAAGGCGACGAUGCAUAGCCGAGUUGAGAGACUGAUCGGCCACAUUGGGACUGAGACACGGCCCAAACUCCUACGGGAGGCAGCAGUAGGGAAUCUUCCACAAUGGACGCAAGUCUGAUGGAGCAACGCCGCGUGAGUGAAGAAGGUUUUCGGAUCGUAAAGCUCUGUUGUUGGUGAAGAAGGAUAGAGGUAGUAACUGGCCUUUAUUUGACGGUAAUCAACCAGAAAGUCACGGCUAACUACGUGCCAGCAGCCGCGGUAAUACGUAGGUGGCAAGCGUUGUCCGGAUUUAUUGGGCGUAAAGCGAGCGCAGGCGGAAAAAUAAGUCUAAUGUGAAAGCCCUCUGCUUAACCGAGGAACUGCAUCGGAAACUGUUUUUCUUGAGUGCAGAAGAGGAGAGUGGAACUCCAUGUGUAGCGGUGGAAUGCGUAGAUAUAUGGAAGAACACCAGUGGCGAAGGCGGCUCUCUGGUCUGCAACUGACGCUGAGGCUCGAAAGUAUGGGUAGCGAACAGGAUUAGAUACCCUGGUAGUCCAUGCCGUAAACGAUGAGUGCUAAGUGU
rnacentral:rRNA from 1 species